rnacentral:rRNA from 1 species
GACGAACGCUGGCGGCGUGCCUAAUACAUGCAAGUCGAGCGAACCAAUAAGAAGCUUGCUUUUUGUUGGUUAGCGGCGGACGGGUGAGUAACACGUGUGUAACCUGCCUGUAAGACCGGGAUCACUCCGGGAAACCGGUGCUAAUACCGGAUAGAUUCUCUUUCCGCAUGGAGAGAUAAGGAAAUAUGGCUAUUGCCAUCACUUACAGAUUUUCCCGCGGCGCAUUUGCUAGUUGGUGAGGUAACGGCUCACCAAGGCGACGAUGCGUAGCCGACCUGAGGGGGUGAUCGGCCACACUGGGACUGAGACACGGACAAGACUACUGCGGGAGGCAGCAGAAGGGAAUCUGCCGCAAUGGACGAAAGUCUGACGGAGCAACGCCGCGUGAGAGAAGAAGGUCUUCGGAUCGUAAAGAUCUGUUGUUAGGGAAGAACAAGUAUCGGAGGAAAUGCCGGUACCGUGACGGUACAUGACAAGAAAGCCACGGCUAACUACGUG